AGACAAAAUAUUGAAGUGCCUUUGAACGGGACUACAGCAUUGAAACCUGCAGGGGAACCACAUCUCAGUAGUACCAGAGGUGUUACCAAGGAACCUGCAACAGAAGGGGUAUUUGCAACACCAGCAGGUGUCUCUCAAACAAAAUUGUGAUGAACAGGACUUCAGGAAUCCCCCUGUCUCUGAGGGGUAGGAGACUGAAUACAUUAAUGGAUGUGUGGUCAAUCCAAAAAACGAUUCCCCCACUCACAUAUUCCUUGACACUGGGGCUGAGGACAGAGAGGAAUUGUAUGGAGUAUACGGUUUGCCACCACCAGAGCUUUGUUUCCUCAAUGUGGCUGACAAUAAGGUGCCCCCCUACUGCUGACUUACUUCCUCCAGGAAAGGCUGGGUAUUAGAAUUAGGUAAAAAUGAAAAUUCCAAAGGUGCCUUUAUUGAUGCUCCUUGACGCUGCUGGCUCUCUGGAGGUGAAAGAUGUUGAAGAUCACACUAUACAAUAGUCAUCAGAUGACCCUUCCAAAAUGAGGAGUCAUUCUUUUGUGGUGGCUGCUGAGGGAAGAACUUUUCAUAACAGUGGCGGUCAGUGCUGUUUAUGAUGAGGGAGGAAUUUAUUAAUUUUUUUCCUUCGUGAGCAUGUCCUCUAUUACAGCGUGUUGGAUGACUGUCAUUCAUAUUGUAUUCACCCAGUUCAAUGUAACAUUGAUGGUUUAGGCUAUUACAUGAUUCUCAAAUUUUCCCUAUACCCACCAUGAUGUUGCUACAACCUAGUUUAUGUCAUUUAAGAUUAGACAGUGACACAUUCAAUACUGCCUUGCCUGCAUCGCUUAUCUAGUGUGUAAUUAUUAGUACAACAGUUACAAACAUGUUUCUAUUGGCCAAAUCCUAGUGUUUUCUUUAUUUUUAUCCUAAUUUUGUUUGCUUCCGUUUUAAGAAAUGUUUUUCAACAGAAUCGUCGGAAUGAAUAAACCCCUGAUCACAAAUAAACAAAGUUCAGCCUCAUUGUAUUCCUUCUC
rnacentral:lncRNA from 8 species